rnacentral:rRNA from 1 species
GAUGAACGCUGGCGGCGUGCCUAAUACAUGCAAGUCGAGCGAAUGGAUUAAGAGCUUGCUCUUAUGAAGUUAGCGGCGGACGGGUGAGUAACACGUGGGUAACCUGCCCAUAAGACUGGGAUAACUCCGGGAAAACGGGGCUAAUACCGGAUAACAUUUUGAACCGCAUGGUUCGAAAUUGAAAGGCGGCUUCGGCUGUCACUUAUUGAUGGACCCGCGUCGCAUUAGCUAGUUGGUGAGGUAACGGCUCACCAAGGCAACGAUGCGUAGCCGACCUGAGAGGGUGAUCGGCCACACUGGGACUGAGACACGGCCCAGACUCCUACGGGAGGCAGCAGUAGGGAAUCUUCCGCAAUGGACGAAAGUCUGACGGAGCAACGCCGCGUGAGUGAUGAAGGCUUUCGGGUCGUAAAACUCUGUUGUUAGGGAAGAACAAGUGCUAGUUGAAUAAGCUGGCACCUUGACGGUACCUAACCAGAAAGCCACGGCUAACUACGUGCCAGCAGCCGCAGUAA